GUAAUCAAUGACGAACAACACUAGUCAACAGUGAUAAAAUAAAUCAAGAAGUUGAAGAGAAUUGGUAAUUAAUUAGGCCCACAAUCGCGAAUAGAGUCGACUCGGGUCGUAGAGGGCGCUAGUGCAGCAUAGAAGACCCGUAUGCGUAUUAGACGAAAUGAAUAUUAGACGAAAUGGUGAUUAGCCAAAAUUGCAAUUGGACAUAAUGGUUAUUAGACCAAAUGGCAAUUAGACCAAAUGAUUGUUAGCCGAAAUGAGUUUAGACCAAGUGAUAGUAG